rnacentral:rRNA from 1 species
GACGAACGCUGGCGGCGUGCCUAAUACAUGCAAGUAGAACGCACAGUUUAUACCGUAGCUUGCUACACCAUAGACUGUGAGUUGCGAACGGGUGAGUAACGCGUAGGUAACCUGCCUGGUAGCGGGGGAUAACUAUUGGAAACGAUAGCUAAUACCGCAUAAUAUUAAUUAUUGCAUGAUAAUUAAUUGAAAGGUGCAAUUGCACCACUACCAGAUGGACCUGCGUUGUAUUAGCUAGUAGGUGAGGUAACGGCUCACCUAGGCGACGAUACAUAGCCGACCUGAGAGGGUGAUCGGCCACACUGGGACUGAGACACGGCCCAGACUCCUACGGGAGGCAGCAGUAGGGAGUCUUCGGCAAUGGACGAAAGGCUGACCGAGCAACGCCGCGUGAGUGAAGAAGGUUUUCGGAUCGUAAAGCUCUGUUGUAAGAGAAGAACGGGUGUGAGAGUGGAAAGUUCACACUGUGACGGUAUCUUACCAGAAAGGGACGGCUAACUACGUG